rnacentral:lncRNA from 1 species
UCUGUUCCCAAAGACAAGCCUGGAGUGUGCCCUCGUAGACGAUGGGGCAUGGGGAUAUGUGUAGAGUUAUGUUCCAAUGACAGUGACUGCCCCAAUGAUGAAAAAUUCUGCCACAAUGGAUGUGGGCAUGUCUGCAUUGCACCUUACACAGACAAGCCUGGAGUGUGCCCUCGUAGACGAUGGGGCAUAGGGAUAUGUGUAGAGUUAUGUUCCAAUGACAGUGACUGCCCCAAUGAUGAAAAAUGCUGCCACAAUGGAUGUGGGCAUGUCUGCAUUGCACCUACACAGUGAAGCCCGGUCGCUGUGUCCUGCUCAAGGGGACCUACAUGUGUGCCGAGUACUGUUACAAAGAUGGCCAGUGCCCCGAGGAACAGAAGUGUUUCCGGAUAUGUUGAUUCUACGCCUGCAGUGAGCCAUUGAAGCUUUAUUGGAAAUUCUUAUUAGUUAUAAGAAAUAACUAGAAAAUUCAAAUUAUUACAUGUACAAUUAUGUCUAUGAAAACUGAUGACUUUAUGCAAUAAUAAAUAUGAAAAAUAAUCAUAGCUUUUAUGGAAA